UUAAACGUAUUUUGUUCAGUUUGACCAAAAGCAAAAACAACUACCAAGAAAAAAACUUAACAGAAAUAAUUUUGCUUAAAUAAUUUUUUUACUUUAAGUCAGAUAGUUUAAUGUCACGUGACCUCGUGACGUCGGGACAAGUACCUUCUCCUUGAGUUUUUCUGUCAGCCAUUUUACUUCGCGCCGACUGCCAAGUUCAUCUGACCCACAGGACAACUGGUUUAAUUAAGGUUUGAUCUUGAGCUCUUUUGCUGAAAAUUUACAUCCAUCUCUUCUAAAUUUGAUCAAUCAUGAAUUCCUGAGAAUUACAACUGUUCCACUUCAACCACAGUUCCUGGCUUGGACAAGCACCACAGCAAGCUGAUUGAGCUAUUCAGAAAGAAGGGAGGAGAGAGAAGACACACCGACAAACGUCCUGAAAGUUCUGGAUCAGAGCCUCGAGGUGAGCCUGAAAAGAGAAUGUCUGCUAAAGUGCCUCAUCGAUUACCUGGGGGAAGACGUGGACAGUCUUAUCAAGGAAUACUUGGUUUCUCAGAAGAAGGAAGCUGAGACGGAGCUGAAGGAAUCUACAGUAGCAGUGUUUGUCAUCAGGGAGGAUGAAGACCCUCUCCAAUCGCCACAUGAAAUUGGGAUUGUACUUGAAGGUGUGGAUGUUCAUGAGUUGCCAUCAGUAGCACAUUCAUUUACAAUGCUGUUUGGCCUCAUCACUGCUGUGAACUAUCCUGUGAGUUAUCCAAGUAAGCUGAAAUACACCUUUUGUAAAUAUUCAUGGACAUGGAACCAAAGAAAAUGACACGCAAAGUGUGCAGUCUUAGUGUGCAGCUUUAAAUAUUCUCUCUCACUCGCCCUGUCUUGCUCUCUCUAUAUUCAAAAGGUGUACAGUAUUUUUGCACUUCUAAAUGUUUGAAUACUGAAGAAGAAAUGUAUAAACCAUUUUUGUUAAACCACCUUGUUAAACAGUAAAAAGGCCAUAACGCACUACCUUUUAUGUGAAUGUUUAACAUAAAUACAGCCAUAUUGGCCUUUUGUUAGAAAGGCAGUAUAUUUUUUGUUUUUGAUUAUUUUAUUUGUUUUCAGGCUUACUGUAAUACUGGUGCAUAUUUCACUACAAUAAGUCACUACAAUAAACAUGGUCUUUUACUCUCUA